CUCUCCUUCCUUCCUCUCUCAUUCUCCUUUCCUCUCCCUCUCUCCUUCAUUCUCUCUCUCCUCUUUCUCCCUCUCCCUCUCUCAUUCUCUCUUUUUCUCUCCCUCUCCCUCCUCCUCUCACUCACUCUAUUUCUCUUAUCUCUCUCUUUCUCCUCUCUCUCCCUGCCUCCCUUCCUUCCUCUCACUCUCCCUCUCUCAUUCCUUCUCUUUUUCUCUCCCUCUCCCUCCUCCUCUCACUCAUUCUAUCUCUCUUCUCUCUCCCUCUCCUCUCUCUCUCUCUCUCUCUCUCUCUCUCUCUCUCUCUCUCUCCCCUCUCUCUCUCUCCUCACCCUCCCCUGCCCCCAUUCUGCCAGGAAGGUAUCUUAUCAGUGUCUCCUCUGCAAGCAGACUCUCAGCACAGAGAGAUGCCCCACACAUGCCCCACACACCUCAGGAAAGAGACAAGACCGUGUCCCAGAGGCUGGCAUUUGGGUCAACUCCAUGUUUCACUGAAGAAAACAAAACAAAGCAUCUUGAGAAACCUGGAGGACACUGCAGUGGAGGUGAAGCUCGCUCUGGCCCAGAAAGGGGAAGUAAAUUAAAUUCUACGCAUUACUUAACACGGCGGUAGCAACACUCAGAAAACAGGAAGCGAGAGAGGCAAAGCCUUCAGAGACCAUGACUGCUGAGCUGGAAACCCAAGAGGCCCAGAAAGCCAGUGUGCAAUGCUCUGCCCUAAAGAUGGGGCUGUGUGAGAGUGAGGGUGUCGGUAUUCCUGGACGUCGGUGACAAGAGCGUCUGGAAGAUGUAACCCCCCUUGGACAGGGUCCAGGCUCUAGUGUCCCGCUGGAAAGGAUACUGUGCUGCAAGCCCCAUCCCACCCCAGUGAAGACAUGGCUCUGAAGAGUGGCACUGAAGCAAAGCAGCCUCCCUGCGGGGUCUCUCACUGAACCUGGAGGUCACUGAGGCAGCUAGACUGACUGGCCGCCAAGAGCUUGGGAUUACAGGGAGACCUUGCCUGGCGUUUUGCAUGGGUGCUACAUAUCUAAACUCAGGCCUUUGCACUCGGAUGUCAAUCACUUUAUCCGCUGAGCCACCUCUCCUCAGCUCUAAGUACUGCACCUCUUUUAAAGAGCUGUGUAGUAAAAAAUACCACCAACCCCAGCUUGGAGCAAGAACCAAAUGUGGCAUCCAACAAGGCUGGUGGCACACAUGAGGAGGCUGGGCUUCAACCUAUGCAUUUCUGUCAUGGCCAAUGUCGCAUGAAGGUCACUGUAACAAAGAGAAUAAGGACACCUGCCAUAAGUUUGCAAGCUUUCUAUAAAUCUAAAAUAAUUCCAAAUAAAGACAAUUAUCAUCUCUAUAUUUACCCACGUGUUUAAUAACAACAAUAAUAACUAUUAUUGUCACUAGUAGGAGUUCCUUCUGAAGUUACAAAAAAUAGGUUAUAAAAACAAAAAAAAAAAUGUACUAAGUAUAAGUAUCCAUAGGGCUUUGCAGACCAAUAUUGAGAAGCAACAGGCCAGGCCUGCACAUCUGUUAUUUGCCAUACAUCAUACAACAAAGUAGGUGACACAGGGGUUGUUUUCUCUAGCCCCAAACCCCUGUAAACACAAUGAUGCCAGACAGCAGAGAGAGGGACACACCAUACUGCUACAACAGAGUCUCAGUGAACCCAGCAUAGGCAGAACCUCAAAAGACAGGAUCCUUCUGACCCAAAAAUAGACAGCUACACACCCCCAUGUACCCUCUUACCUCCUCUAACCUGUGUCCCCAACCCAUCGCUGGCCAGCCAAGGCUGUUUGGGAAAUAGAUGCCCCCAGGGCUCAUUUUGGAACAGUUCUCUCCACAUUGGCAAGCUAACUUCAUCAAGAAAGCUGUGGCGGGUGCUCUGGGGGAAAGGUACAAUGGCCACCUCCCGGGGCUGGUACACCAAUGUUCUUCUGCAGGUAAUUGCCUAAGCUAUCGCUGUGGGCUAUGUGCACACGGUGCCACCUGUAAUGAAAGUGGCUGAGUGACAGCUGAAAAGCCAGGGGAGAGCAGAGUGUUUAUUUCCAUAAGAUUGUGUCUCUGUUUAGGAAGCUCUGAUGUAGCUCCCGAGCUCCUGGCUCUCCCAUUUCUAAUCACAGAGUGUAAAAAUAAAAUUGUUUCUUUCAGUACCGGAAGUGAUUUCGUUGGCAUCACCUACUGUUUGGUAGAUUAAAUUUUUUGAAGCCAGAAAGAAGGGAAAAAAAAAUAUCUUGAAAUUUCAACAAAAUCAAACAAACAAACAAAAGCUUGCUCCCUCUCUCUCUCUCCUUGUGUUCCCAGAGUUUCCUCAGUAUAGAGCUGUUUUUCUUUUCCUUUUUAAGAGAUGGGUUCAUCAGUCCAGAUGGAAAACAAUAUGGCUGGAU
rnacentral:lncRNA from 1 species